CUAGGACUUAUUUUUGUGGUGCUGGGUGGUUUCAGCCUUGGAUUUGGAAGCUAGGAUUAUUAGUGCUUAGGAAGGUCUAUCUGGACAGAGCCAGGCCUAAGUCAGCUGAUGGGGAUGUGAGAAUAUAGAAUCUGGAGGAGAUGAGCUUGGGGUGUCAAAACAGUGGGUUUCAGGGCAAGUGUCAGGCUGAAGAUAUUUAGGCUGGGAUUUGUGUGAAAAUGUUGGGGUUGGGGAAAAUUGAUAAGAUACUUGUAUUAGAGACAUAAGCCCUGUCACAGGACCUGGCUUCUGAGGCCUGCUUUGGUGCUCCCACUUGUCCUGCUUGCUCCCCUCUGGCCUAUCAGGGUAUCACCCUGCUAUCCUGCCUACCACACCUUGAUGGUGUAAUUGGAGAGACUGCCCUCAGAGAGCAACACGAGCUUUCUGGAUACAGCCUCUCUCCCUGUGGGGCUCCCACCCUUCUGGAACACUAUACUGGGCUACUGGCCCUUCCUCUCUUGCACUGGACCCUCCAGAUCCUAAUCCCCUUACAGGGCUUUUAAUUGUGGCCUCUAGCUGCACCUGUAGCCACAUCCGUGCUUCACAGGUCUUACUCUAUUCUCUGCACUGAGCCCUCUGGCUCUCUACUGGUCUCAGCUCUCUGAGUCCCUGAAUUGGCAGGCUGUUAUCUUCUGCCUAUAAAACGCUUGGCCUAGUCCAUGCAGCCCACUGGGUCCCAGACCCAUGUAGAGCUAUAACUUGGCCUCAGCUCCUUCUCUAUGCAUGUACUGGGCCCCUGGUCCAGUCAGCUUCAGCCCACUGGGUCUCAGACCCUUUUCUACCCAAGCACUGGGCCCCUGGUCCUGUCUCAGCUUCAGCCCAUGCAGCCCAAUUGGUCCUGAACCUUUGUAGGGCUCUAUCUGGGCUUAAGUCCAUCAUGACAUAAAGUGCCUACCCAUGGCCCCCAAAACCACCCCAUCAGCCAUACUGAAACCUCUGGUUUCUUGAGUCUCUACCCAGCAACUUCCAGUCCUCUGCCCACUAGCUUUCUCCAGCUUCCCCAGAUACCUGGAGUGACUGGGUCCCCUGCUUUCACAGCCUGGGCUCUCAGGAGUUCUUCCCUCCCUGAAGCUCAGGGCCAGACUACCUCCUUUAGCUCUGGAGCUAGGCUUAAAGUAGAGUAGGGCUUCACCCCUUCCAAUCACAUGACCUCUGACUGACCAUGGAGUUUCUGCUUACCCUAUUAUUUCACCUCCUCUAUUCUACUGCCUUCUUCCCAGCUGUCUUUUAUUUGCUGCGUAGCUUCCAGUCAGAUUACAGCACUACCUCUGUAGCUUAUUGCAGGGCAUCUUACCCCAGUAAUGAACAAUGGGGCUGAGUGAAGUGUGCAGCUGGAAGAGAGAGGGUACUGCUGGGAUUCACCAAUGAGCCCUUAAACCAGUGGGUUUUACCCUUGUUAAACUCCAGGCACUCCUCAAAAAAUCCCAGCUUUUAGCCUUCAUUUAUUUCUUAACUACAGAAAAAUACUAGAGCAAUUGUUCUGUUGCAGAGAGCUCAGAAAGACCACAGCAGGUCAGAAUGUUUUUGACACCAUGGAUUCCUAUUUGAAACCUCUGGGUUUAUCUUGUAAAUAAUGCGUAGGUGUCUGUACACCUAACUGGGUUAGUAUUGCACAGUACCCUGCAACACCCUCAAAAGGAUUGCAUUGCACCCUAACAGAAUCAGUGUCCUAAAUUAAGAGCUCUUUCCAUCUACUGUGGUCUCUCUGCUUACUGAGACAUCAGAGUCUCUGGGGCAAGCAUUGAGUCAUUGUUCCUGCUGUGGCUUGAUGGCCUGUUUCUAAAGUUGACUAGUGUUGUUGCUUUUACUCUUCACAGAGAGGAGAAACUGCUAAGCAGAAGUGACCUGGUCUUACAGGAGAAAUGGGGCAGAGCACAUGCCUGAAGAAGAACCUCCUGGAUUUCAGGAAACUCUCUAGCACACACUUCGUUCAUGGCUUUCAGCAAACCAUUUAGGAACUCACCCCAUUGCAAUCAAUGCAGAGAUUCCUGUUGACUUCAAUGGCCUUUGAAUCAGGUCCUGAGCCUCUUGGUGCCUCGUGUAGCCAUCUGCAAAUGGGGAUGAUUAUACCUCACAAGGAUGUCAUAAGAAUAAGUUCUUUAAUGUGUAAUAGAUAUUUAUGUGCUAUGGUGAUUUAGGCCAUAGGAAAACCUAGAAAGUAUGUGAUCUGCUCCACCAUCCUUUGCUCAGUGUUUGCUUCUCUUGUGUCAUGAUUUCACUCCUGCUUAACACAUUUAUUUUCCUCUGCCCCACUAUCACUCCUACAUGGAGUCUUGAAAGUGUUAAUUUUUAGACCUCUGCUCUCUCAUAAUUUCUUCCUCCUUCUCAGUCAUGUUGGCCCAUGGAGUUACAUGAGCGGUGAAUUUGCCAUGUUAUCUGAAUUUUUAUCUUAAUUACUUUAAUCACUUUUUGUGCUGAUACUCAGCUGCUUAGAUGUGGAGACUGGGAGUUAGAGCUCCUGGGUUCUCUUUCACUUGCUCGUUCACCCUUCCUCUUUCACUAGCUCUGUAAUCUUGCCAAAAACACAUUUAACUUCUCUUUGGUCUGUCUGUUCAUUGAUAAAAUGGUUAUAAGAAACAAUACCAAUGCCACACAAUAACAUGAGGCUGAUUUUGUAAAACACUUUGAGACCCUAAGAUAUUCCUAAAGCAUUUUUAUUUAUGAAUUGCAGAUAGUGUGUGAUAUGGUUAGUGACUACCCUAUUCAACCUCUCUGUCAGUCUCACCCACAUAAAUUUACAGCUUUGCUCUCCUCCCCAUAAAUAGCUCAGCUUCAAGUGCAUCUCUUGGGCAUGAGAAGCAUUAUUAAGGGCUCAUCCCCUUCCUGAAUUCAGAUCUCCCACUUGACUCCUCUGUCCAUAAUCUUGGCAUCAUCCAUCAUUAUCUCCUCCUCCUGUAUCCCCUGUGUCUGUGCCUAUUACCACAUCCACUCUGCCUUGGAGAACAACUGUUUCAGCCUCACCUCUGCUCCUCCAUCACUGAAUCUCUGCUUAGCUUGACUGUUUUACUUCUACCCUCUGGUGCCUUCCCAGAUUCUUGGAUCACAGCAUGCACAGAACACCCCCCUCAGAUUUGUUCCACAUAGCAGGAAACCCCGCUGCAUCGCCUAAUUCUCAGACACCUCUGCACACUCUCCCUCCCUUUCCCAAUCAAGUUCAGUUGCCCUUUCUGUUUUUCACACUCUCCUAUGGAGUUGUUUCAGCUUCUUUCACCUGCUGUGUCUCUCUGCUCCUUCCCCUUUCCUUCACUCACAUAGUACUGUCUCUCUGUCUCUCUCUUUCCCUCUCCUUCUCCCUCCUCUCAAAUCCUACCCCUUUUACUGCAAGAACCCUCCCCUCUUCUCUUUUUGGCAUCAGGAACAAACUCCCUAUGUCUCUCUGUCUCAUCAACUCCCCAUUUCAUUUUAAAUAUAAUUUAAAACCCUCUCUUUUUUCAACUGGAACCCAUUCAUUUCUCUCCUCCUGCUCUGCAGUCAUAAUACAUAUUUCUGUGUUUAUAGUAUAUAGUAAUAUCUUAUUGUAACCGUAAUAAAAAUCUUCAACUAUG